rnacentral:lncRNA from 1 species
GCUUUCAAUUUGCGUUUUUAACCCCAAAGAAUAAAGAAAACAGGGGUCACACGUAUCAAACGAGUCAAGAACUGCAAUAGGAGUGACUCUCGAAACAUGGAAGACAAAUAUUAAAUGUUUAUCCGUCACAUGAACCCACCACGAGGGCAACGAAUCAUCGUUGCGGUUUAUGGGACGGCCUCUUUAGUUUCAGGCUAAAAAUAAAUUAUGAAGAAGGAUGUUUGUCGUUUAUGUAUAUAUGCCAAGGCCACAAUCAAAGGUGGGGUUGAAAUUAUGUACAAAAAGGAUGCUAUCGUUCCUAAAAAUGUUCCGCAUGCAUUCUGGGAAAGAGCUAAAGUUUGAUCUUUUAUAUUUUUUUAUUUUGUUUGAUUGUUUCAUAUAUAUAGGCUUUUGCUCAUCGCCACUUUUAUAUACAGAUACGAUGCAGCGAACGAGAUAGCUUCUCCAUAUUCAGUCUUGACAUGUUCAUUGAAUCGGGCGAACUGGGCGAGCAUAUAACAUAGGUCAAUAUGUUUCAAUCUUUUUUAUUAAAAAAAUUGGUGAGAAAUAGUUGAGUUAGCUAAAGAACCUGAUGGCAACGUACAUCAAGAUCAUAUAUACAGGAUAGCUUGCUUGGCUGAGAUGACCAGCACCACGUGAACCCCCCGUCGCAUCCCUUUGUCUAAAGAUUUGUACUCUUGUCCAACACGAUUUAUUCUUUUGCUUGACAACAGUUGCUCUCUCUGGCACAAGCUGGAUAUGACAUAACUGCAGAUUUACUUAGAACUACAGAUGAUGUUGAGCUUUUGGAACCUCCAGUGAUGGAAGGUUUGGAUUUGCUUUUGGCGAAGCAUAAUGGUUCAAGAAACAAUGGUGUCCCUGAAACAAACGGUGUUUUGGCAGGGCAGCCCGUGCCAGCAAAGAGUCUAUUUGGUUGAAGGUGGUGAUCAUUGUGGUCUGAUUAAAGAAGGAUAUGAUGGCUAAUUCUUAGUGGAACGUAUAUUUGAUUGAAAAAUAUGUGAUUUUUAAGCUCCAGCCUUCAUCUUCAUUGACCAACGACGGCUUCGACAAAGCACCACCGUAACCACCGGACACACCACCGUCAUGGUCCACAACCCCAUCCCCACCCAUCUUCUCAUCUUCUCCGGCGACACUCCUCUGUCCGUUCCUUUCGUCUCCGGCUAAAACACCACCUCCAUCCCAUUGUUCUCUGGCGAAGCACUCCCCUUCCCUCCUUUUUUACGGCCAACCAAUUCUUUUGGCGCCCAUUAAAUCACUUCACUGCCACCAGGUGGUGGACUUCAACCGGCAAGAUAACAUCCAUCGGAUUUGCAGGUCCCUUAAUUGCCAUCGCAGGUCACUUUACAACAUUCGUGGAUUUGGAGGUCUUUUCAUUGCCAUUGGAUUUGCAACGUCCACCGAACAAAGUACAUCUUGAUUGGUUUUACUGGGUUUUGGCAUGUUUGAGCUAGUUCAGUUUGGUUUUGUUUUGUCUAUAAUUGUUAUAUUAUCCAUCAUAUCUAUAAACAAUUUUACAAAAUCAAAUUCA